rnacentral:rRNA from 1 species
GACGAACGCUGGCGGCGUGCUUAACACAUGCAAGUCGAACGGAAAGGCCCUGCUUUUGUGGGGUGCUCGAGUGGCGAACGGGUGAGUAACACGUGAGUAACCUGCCCUUGACUUUGGGAUAACUUCAGGAAACUGGGGCUAAUACCAGAUAGGAGCUCCUGCUGCAUGGUGGGGGUUGGAAAGUUUCGGCGGUUGGGGAUGGACUCGCGGCUUAUCAGCUUGUUGGUGGGGUAGUGGCUUACCAAGGCUUUGACGGGUAGCCGGCCUGAGAGGGUGACCGGCCACAUUGGGACUGGGAUACGGCCCAGACUCCUACGGGAGGCAGCAGUGGGGAAUAUUGCACAAUGGGCGGAAGCCUGAUGCGGCAACGCCGCGUGCGGGAUGACGGCCUUCGGGUUGUAAACCGCUUUCGCCUGUGACGAAGCGUGAGUGACGGUAAUGGGUAAAGAAGCACCGGCUAACUACGUG